UGGCGAGUUUACUUUGAACAAAUCAGAGUGCUCAACACAGGCGCAACGCUGGAUGCUUAUGCAUGGAAUAAUGGAAGAGGAUUUCGGUUCUGUUUUGUUGGUUUCGAAGCCGAGAUAAUGGUUAAGAGGGACAGACGGGGGCAUUGGUAUUUCUGCGUGAGAGGUGAAAUUCUUGGACCGCAGGAGGACCGACAACAGCGAAGGCAAUUGCCAAGAAUGUCCCCAUUAAUCAAGAACGAAAGUCAGGGGAGCGAAGGCGAUUAGAUACCGCCGUAGUCCUGACCGUAAACGAUGCUAACUAGCGAUCCGUUGGACACCGCGACACGGGUGCCGAUGGGGAGCUUGCGGGAAACCAAAGUGUUUCAGCUCCGGGGGUAGUAUGGUCGCAAGGCUGAAACUUAAAGGAAUUGACGGAAGGGCACCACCAGGAGUGGAGCCUGCGGCUUAAUUUGACUCAACACGGGAAACCUCACCCGGGCAGUACACCGCAAGGAUUGACAAAUUGACAGCUUUUUCAUGAUUCGGUGGUUGGUGGUGCAUGGCCGUUCUUAGUUCGUGGAGUGAUCUGUCUGGUUAAUUCCGAUAACGAGCGAGACCCGCGCCUGCUAACUAGUCGGGAUGUACGCCGUCGCAUCUCGCGCGCACUUCUUAGAGGGAUCUGCGGCGCUAGCCACAUGAAAGUGGGCAAUAACAGGUCUGUGAUGCCCCUAGAUGCCCGGGGCUGCACGCGCGCUACACUGGCGAAGGCAACGUGCUUGCGCUGGCUCGACAGAGUCCGGCUAAUCCGUUGAAACUUCGCCGUGA
rnacentral:rRNA from 1 species